GGAGGAACCUCUGGAGAGAACCGUUAAAUCGGUCGCCGAAGGAGCAAGCUUUGAAUAUCAAAGUGAAACUCUCAGGCAAAAGGACAGAGGAGUGAAA
rfam:Vibrio caribbeanicus ATCC BAA-2122 VIBC2010_65, whole genome shotgun sequence.